UACGGAGGGUGCAAGCGUUAUCCGGAUUUACUGGGUUUAAAGGGUGUGUAGGCGGGCUAUUAAGUCAGUGGUGAAAUCUCCGGGCUCAACCCGGAAACUGCCAUUGAUACUAUUAGUCUUGAAUUUUGUUGAGGUAGGCGGAAUAAGUCAUGUAGCGGUGAAAUGCAUAGAUAUGACUUAGAACACCGAUUGCGAAGGCAGCUUACUAUGGUCUUAUUGACGCUGAGGCACGAAAGCGUGGGGAUCAAACAGG
rnacentral:rRNA from 1 species